rnacentral:rRNA from 1 species
CCUACGGGGGGCAGCAGUGGGGAAUAUUGCACAAUGGGGGAAACCCUGAUGCAGCGACGCCGCGUGAGUGAAGAAGUAUUUCGGUAUGUAAAGCUCUAUCAGCAGGGAAGAAGAAAGACGGUACCGGACGAAGAAGCCCCGGCUAACUACGUGCCAGCAGCCGCGGUAAUACGGAGGGGGCAAGCGUUAUCCGGAGUUACUGGGUGUACCGGGAGCGGAGACGGCUGGGCAAGGCGGAAGGGCAAGCCCAGGUCUCAACCCUGGGGCUGCUUUGGAAACUGUGGAGCUAGAGUGCUGGGGAGGUCAGUGGACUUCCUCGUGUAGCGGUGAAAUGCGUCGAUAUUAGGAGGAACACCAGUGGCGCAGGCGGCUUACUGGACAGUACCUGACGUUGCGGCUCGACCGCGUGGGGAGCAAACAGGAUUAGAUACCCUUGUAGUC